rnacentral:rRNA from 1 species
CGACCUCAGAGUAGGCGAGAUUACCCGUUGAAUUUAAGCAUAUUACUAAGCGGAGGAAAAGAAACUAACAAGGAUUUCCUUAGUAGCGGCGAGCGAACAGGAACGAGCCCAGCACUGAAUCCCACGGUUCCGCCGUUGGGAAAUGUAGUGUUUAGGAGGGUCAAUUUAUCCCGAGAUGUCGAACUGCAUCCAAGUCCAUCUUAAAUGGGGCCAUUUACCCGAAGAGGGUGCCAGGCCCGUAGCGACCGGUACGCAUUUCGGGAGGACCUCUCUUUAGAGUCGGGUUGCUUGAGAGUGCAACCCUAAGUGGGUGGUAAACUCCAUCUAAGGCUAAAUAUAACCACGAGACCGAUAGCGAACAAGUACCGUGAGGGAUAGUUGAAAAGAACUUUGAAGAGAGAGUUCAAGAGUAAGUGAAAUCGUACAGGGGUAAACCUGAGAAACCCAAAAGUUCGAAUGGGGAGAUUCAUCGGCAGCAAAGCUGGCUCCCGUUGGUGCGUGAUACCCUGACUUUGGGGCCUUCGUGGUUCCAAUGCGAGGGCCCACUCAUCUUCGGUGAACGUUCCGGCUAUAUGUAGUCGUGCCCUUCUCCCUUAGUAGAACGUCGCGACCCGUUGCGUGUCGGUCUACGGCCCGAGUUGUUUGCCUGGCGCGUCGUCUAGUGCGCACGCGUUAGACGCUCGAUCGCCCGGCCGGCUGCGUGACGGUACUCUGACGGUAUCGGGCAGCAACCAAUCCAUUUUCGAAUGUGCGUGCGUCAGGCCCGCCGCAAGCUCGGUCAGUUUACCCGGAGGUGUACGGACCUGGUGCCGUCCCCGGGCCUGGCCAGCUGUUUGCAGGCGGUGUCCUUGGACUGGCCAAGCUUCGAAUCACCGGUCGGCGACGCUACUGCUUUGGGUACUCACAGGACCUGUCUUGAAACACGGACCAAGGAGUCUAACAUGUGCGCGAGUCAUUGGGAUAUAUAAACCUAAAGGCGCAAUGAAAGUGUGAAGGUUGGCUUUUGCGUCGACCGAGGGAGGAUGGGCCGUGUUACGAUUUACGGCCUUGCACUCCCGGGGCGUCUCGUUCUCAUUGCGAGAAGAGGCGCACCCAAGAGCGGUACACGUUGGGACCCGAAAGAUGGUGAACUAUGCCUGGUCAGGACGAAGUCAGGGGAAACCCUGAUGGAGGUCCGUAGCGAUUCUGACGUGCAAAUCGAUCGUCGGAACUGGGUAUAGGGGCGAAAGACUAAUCGAACCAUCUAGUAGCUGGUUCCCUCCGAAGUUUCCCUCAGGAUAGCUGGCACUCGCUCGUUCCUACGUUGAACGCAUGCGAGUCUCAUCUGGUAAAGCGAAUGAUUAGAGGCCUUGGGGCCGAAACGACCUCAACCUAUUCUCAAACUUUAAAUGGGUGAGAUCUCUGGCUUGCUUGAAUAUCAUAUGAAGCCACGAGAUUUUGGAUCAGAGUGCCAAGUGGGCCAAUUUUGGUAAGCAGAACUGGCGCUGUGGGAUGAACCAAACGCAGAGUUAAGGCGCCUAAGUCGACGCUUAUGGGAUACCAUGAAAGGCGUUGGUUGCUUAAGACAGCAGGACGGUGGCCAUGAAAGUCGGAAUCCGCUAAGGAGUGUGUAACAACUCACCUGCCGAAGCAACUAGCCCUGAAAAUGGAUGGCGCUGAAGCGUCGCGCCUAUACUCCUCCGUCAGCGGCAAGUGAGGAGAGACGUGUCAUGAGCCAUGAAGCCCUGACGAGUAGGAGGGUCGCGGCGGUGUGCGCAGAAGGGUCUGGGCGUGAGCCUGCCUGGAGCCGCCGUCGGUGCAGAAUUUGGUGGUAGUAGCAAAUACUCCAGCGAUGCCCUGGAGGACUGACGUGGAGAAGGGUUUCGUGUGUCCUAAAACAAAUGUUUUGUGUACAAGACACACACCCGUUGGGCGAAAGGGUAUCCGGUUUCUAUUCCGGAACCCGGCAGCGGAACCGCAUACCAUUCGGGCCCUCGUAAGUGUGUUCGUCGGGGUAACCCAAACUGACCUGGAGACACCGUCGGGAGAUCCGGGGAGAGUUUUCUUUUCUCUAUAAGCGUGUUCGAGUUCCCUGGAAACCUCUAGCAGGGAGAUAGGGUUUGGAACGCGAAGAGCACCUCAGUUGCGGCGGUGUCCGGAUCUUCCCCUCGGACCUUGAAAAUCCAGGAGAGGGCCACGUGGAGGUGUCGCGCCGGUUCGUACCCAUAUCCGCAGCGGGUCUCCAAGGUAAAGAGCCUCUAGUCGAUAGAUUAAUGUAGGUAAGGGAAGUAGGCAAAUUGGAUCCGUAACUUCGGAAUAAGGAUUGGCUCUGAGGAGCGGGGCGUGUCGGUCUUGGUCGGGAAGCGGGUCUGGCUGACGUGCCGGGCCUGGGCGAGGUGAACGGCUUCGGCCUGGAUCCGAGCUCGGUCCCGUGCCUUGGUCUCCCGCGGAUCUUCCUUGCUGCGAGGCUUCUGCAAUAGCGGUCGCCCUCUUCGGCCGCCUUUCAACGCUCAGCUCAGAACUGGCACGGACUAGGGGAAUCCGACUGUCUAAUUAAAACAAAGCAUUGCGAUGGCCCCCGCGGGUGUUGACGCAAUGUGAUUUUUGCCCAGUGCUCUGAAUAUCAACAUGAAGAAAUUAAAAAAAGCGCGGGUAAACGGCGGGAGUAACUAUGACUCUCUUUUGGAGUACGUCGCUGUUCAGCUUCAGUGCACCACAUACCGUCCUGAAUCGAGGGGAAAGUUAAGGAUUAUAAUUCGAAGUUUUCAUAUCAAGUGCCUUAAAUUAAUCAGAUACAGUGUCGUUACGGGGAAAUAAUUGUCCGAGCGUUAUUGUGCGAAAAUGUCGAGAUUAAGUCAUGUCGGAGCAGGAAUACAAGAACUUUUGUUCUCGAACAAAGAAGCGUCUGCCAGUGAGCACAGUAUCUGGAGUAUAGUCUCUCGAGUGUAUCUGUUUCUCAAGAUAAAAAUUUUCGCGUGUCAAAACAUGCAGAGAAUAGUCUCAAAGUCAUAGAAAAGUAUUUACAUAAACAACAAUUAACAGACGUCAUCUUAAUUGCCGGAAACAAUCGUUUCCCAGCACAUCGCUUAGUACUUAGUGCAAGUUCAGAAUAUUUUGCUGCAAUGUUUACUAGUUCUCUCAGAGAAUCGGCUCAAAAUGAAGUUGAAUUAAUGGAAGUAAAUGGGGAUGCAUUAUGGGCUUUGGUCUGUUAUUGUUAUACAGGCUGUUUUAGAAUUAAGGGAGGAGGAUAGUGUAGAAACUCUUUUAGCAACAGCAUGUUUACUACAACUCAAUCCAGUUGUUAAGGCUUGCUGUCAAUUUCUCUUAGAAAGCAACUCCAUCCAAGUAACUGUCUAGGAAUAAGAAUGUUUGCAGAUACACAGGGUUGUACAGAUUUAUUAGAAUAUGCUCAUGCAUAUACAACCAAACACUUUAUGGAAGUCACGAGAAAUCAAGAAUUUUUAUUACUACCUGCUAAUGAAGUUGUCAAAUUGUUAGAAUCGGAAGAUCUCAAUAUACCUUCAGAAGAAACUAUUUUUCAUGCACUUAUGACAUGGUUGGAAUAUCAUCCAGAAAAUAGACAAAAAGAAGCAAGCAGACUGCUAAGUCUUGUAAAACUACCUCUGUUGUCCCCUGGAUUUAUAGCAGACAAUAUUGAGAGUAAUGAAAUGUUCAAAGAUCAAAGAGUGGCACAAGAGUUAGUCAUGGAAGCAUUAAAAUAUCAUCUUCUGCCAGAGCAUAGACCAUUACUUCAAUCAGGACGUACAAAGCCUUAGGAAAGCAACUGUAGGUCACAUGUUAGCUGUUGGAGGAAUGGAUGCUAAUAAGGGUGCUACUUCUAUAGAUGCAUUUUCCUUGCGUGAUAAUGCUUGGAAACCAAUAGCCACGAUGAGCGGUAGGAGACUUCAGUUUGGUGCUGCUAUAGUAGAUAAGAAACUAAUAGUUGCCGGCGGAAGGGAUGGAUUAAAAACAUUGAGUAUAGUCCGAAUGUUUCGAUUUUUCCACUUUAACGUGGAACACACUAUCUCCUAUGAAUGUUCAUCGUCACGGAUUAGGGGUGGCUGUAUUAGGUGGACUUUUGUACGCUGUUGGCGGUCAUGAUGGUUGGAGUUUCCUUGACACAGUAGAAAGAUGGGAUCCAUCUACGCGACAAUGGAGCUCCGUUUCGCCUAUGUCGAUACAGAGAUCUACAGUUGGUGUUACUGUAUUAAACGAUAAAUUAUAUGCUGUAGGUGGAAGAGAUAUCGGUUAGUGUUUAAAUACUGUAGAAUGUUAUGACCCACAUACAAAAUAAAUGGACUCCUUGUGCUCCAAUGUCAAAACAAACGGGAUGGAGUGGAUCUGGGAGUAGUAUAGUAAAUGGGUGUCUGUACGCAUUGGGGAGGUCAUGACGCGCCAGCCACUAAUCCCAAUGCCAGCAGAUUUAAUUGUGUUGAAAGGUAUGACCCUAAAACAGACACGUGGACAAUGAUAGCGCCAAUGAGUGUCCCUCGGGAGGCAGUUGGUGUUUGUGUACUAGGCGACAGGCUUAUGGCAGUGGGAGGCUAUGAUGGCCAACAAUAUCUCACACUUGUUGAAGCAUAUGAUCCUCAUCUUAAUGAAUGGGAACCUGUUGCUCCUUCAAAAGCUGGACGAGCAGGUUCGCCAUGUGUUGUUGUAAAAAAUGUACCUGGUUUCGGGUUUGAUUAGUGAUAUAAUCAUACACAUCUUUAAGUAUGGAUUGUAAAAACGAAACAAAUCUUUUAAACAUUAUUUUUUACAUGAAAAAAUGAAUUCAUGAAUGUUGCAAUUAUGUGAUUUGAAAACAGCGAUGUUUCAUAUUUAGUAGAUAGUAAUGUCUGUAUUACGUUUGUGUUGCACUGCCGUAAAUUUGUAUAUAUUUGUACUUACAUUUUUUGUAUGGACAAAUUGAAGUAUUACACAUAUAAGAAUGAGGCGACUGUAGAGUAACAUGCUAGUUUUAAGAAUUUUUUAAUAAAAUCUUUUUAUUAUAUUUUUUACUCACACCUUUGUACAGGUGACAGUAUAUCUUUAUAAACACAUGAUAUGAAGGUAUGCGUGUGAUGAGAAAACAAGUAGUAGUAAAGUAUGUAAGAUCAAAUUUAUUUUUCGCGUCGAGAUACUGUUUUUAUACGUAUCCAUAUAUAUUUUGUGAACAUACUUUUUUCAAAUAAAUAAAAUAAAUCAUUUUAAAGGCGGGGGAGUAACUAUGACUCUCUUAAAACACCUGAGCGAGUUGUGGUUACUAGGAGCGGUGAUGCGUCUUAUAGACUUCCAGUAAGGUCCGUCAGCCUCUCCCGAUCAAGUGAUGCUCCCACCUCCCAUAGGUACCCGCUGGGCAACGUCGUCGGCAUAGCCACUUAAAUACGGACAGCGGCUAAGGGAUGCAUUGCGACUCGUGGCCCCCAGGGGUUGCCAGCCCCUUCGGGUCCAAAUUGUGUUGGCCCAAAAAAAAGGAUGGACACCACCGGGGGGAGCCCACUGGCACUCCUCGGCCAACACACCCCCUCUCACCGGGACCGAGCUCGGGUAAUCCCCCUACCCAGCCGGUUACUUGGAUGUGCGAGUUUCCAGGAUGCAGACGGUCAUUCGGUACCAAGAUCGGACGAGGACUGCACAUGAGGAAGGCGCACCCGGAUUGGACUGAUGACAACAAUGAGCUGCGCCAGUAAAGGCACAAUGGACGGAAGAGGAGGUGUCUUUGCUGGCAAGGCGAGAAGCGGCACUGUCCAUGAAGGGCGUUAGGUUCAUCAAUCAGGGACUCGUAGGAUUCCUUCCCGGCCGAUCGCUCGAAGCCAUCAAGGGUGUCCGAAAGCGCGUGGACUAUCGGACGCUCGUGGAUGGACACGUUGAACGCAUGAAACGGGAGACUGAAGCGCCGACGGAGGUCGCGGUUCCAACCACUGGAGAGGAUGAGGAAUGCGAUCGAGCUCUACUGGAGUACUUCCGCGCCCUCACCCCUCUCGACUGUGGUGGAUUCCGGGUGCAAACCCUGAAUCAGAUCUGCAGUCGAGUUGGGAUUGAGGAACGUGGGGUUAUCCUAGAGAAUCUGACCGUAAACCUGGCGGAAGUUUAUCCGCCUCCUCGAAACGUGGGAAAACGUGGACCGGGUCCCUGUCCAGUGACUCAGCGAGUACCGCUAUCGCGUCGCAAGCAGCGCAGGAUCGACUACGGUAGAACUCAAAAGCUCUGGCGUAGAUAUCCUGGCCGCUGUUACGAUGUCAUAAUGGGCAGCCCCGUGGAAAACAUGACCCUCCCUAAGGAGGUGAUGGUUCCCUACUGGGGAGUCCAUUAUGACCAAUGCGCGCGAGAGUGGUCCGCUGCAGGCCCAGCAAAAGGAGACCAUUCCCUCGCUUUGGUCACCCGUCGCGCUGGGUGAGGUACGGGAUGCUUUACCGGAUGGGAAGACUGCACCAGGUCCUGACGGUUUGUCUGCUAGACUCCUUGGCAGAACACACCUCGAUGUUCUGUCUAGGAUCUACAACCUGAUUUUAUGGUGUCGCAGACUCCCGUUACACCUUAGGGACGCCAGGACGGUGCUGAUUCCCAAGACUCCGGAACCUACAAGCCCGUCGGACUUUCGACCCAUUAACGUCUCCUCGACACUUGUGCGUGGUUUGCACAAGGUCUUGGCGCUGAGGAUGGCAAGGAUGAUCCGGCUGGAUGAGAGGCAGAGAGCUUUCCGUGCCACAAACGGAUAUGCGGACAACGUGUUUCUGCUGGACUUGGUGCUCCGCUAUCACCACUCUCACCAUAAGCCGCUGCACGUCGCAUCGGUUGAUGUGGCGAAGGCAUUUGAUACCGUUUCCCACAGCUCGAUACUCGAAACGCUCAAAUCGAGAGGGUGUCCGGGUCCCAUGGUGAAGUAUAUCGAGACGGUGUACUCCGAUGCUCUCACGACCAUUGUGUCUGGCGGAUGGCAGUCUCAUGCCAUUCACCCGAUGCAAGGUGUGAGGCAGGGAGAUCCCAUGUCUCCAUAUAUUUUCAACAUGGUUCUCGACACUGAGUGAGCGCAGAGGUGAGAAAGUGGUUAGAUCCGACGCCAGAUACACCUAUGGCGUAUUUCCACUCCACCAUCGAUUCGGGAGGACUUGGCGUGCAAUCACUUCGGUGGUGCAUUCCAAGAAUUCGGCUUAGCCACCUGCAGUGUCUCAGUCUCUCAUCCGAUGCUGCUUCUGCUCCGUCUGGUGACUAUCUUCGUGUUGAGGUCCAACGGACACGUCAGUGUCUCAGAGACACUCAACCACGUGCUUCAGCAGUGUCACCGCACGCAUGAUGUCCGCAUUAAGCGGCAUGAUGCUGUGGUCGUGUACCUGGCACGUGGGCUCGAGCAAAAAGGUUUUUGUGUCGAGCGCGAACCGAAGUACCGAACCGAUGAGGGAGUGAGAAAACCAGAUGUAGUAGCAACCAAAGACGGCAAGUGCGUAGUCAUCGACGCGCAGGUGGUCAGUGAGCAGUCAAUCCUGGAUGUUGCGCACAGACGUAAAGUCCAAUAUUAUGCUGAUAACGCCAGCCUUCGAC